GAUUAGAUACCCCACUAUGCUUAGCCCUAAACCCAGAUAUUUAACACACAAAAAUAUCCGCCAGAGAACUACGAGCAUAACGCUUAAAACUCUAAGGACUUGGCGGUGCCUUAAACCCCCCUAGAGGAGCCUGUUCUAUAAUCGAUAAUCCACGAUCCACCUCACCAUCUCUUGCCAGUACCGCCUAUAUACCACCGUCACUAGCCUACCCUAUGAAGGAUAUAAAAGUAAGCAAAACAGCCAACAAUAGCUAAUAAGUCAGGUCAAGGUGUAGCUAACUGAGAUGGAAGAAAUGGGCUACAUUUUCUAAACUAGAAAUUAUCUCACGGAAAGAACCAUGAAACAAGUUCUACAAGCAGGAUUUAGCAGUAAACAAGGAUUAGAAUGCCCAAUUUAAGCCGGUCCUAAGGCACGCACACACCGCC
rnacentral:rRNA from 1 species